AGGACGAACGCUGGCGGCGUGCCUAACACAUGCAAGUCGAACGAGAUCCAACCGGUAGCAAUACCGGUGAAGAUCAAGUGGCGAACGGGUGAGUAGCACGUGAGCAACCUGCCCCGAAGACCGGGACAACACCGGGAAACCGGUGCUAAUACCGGAUAUCCCCACUGAGUCGCAUGGCUCGGUGAGGAAAUGGAUUCCGCUUCGGGAGGGGCUCGCGGCCUAUCAGCUUGUUGGUGAGGUAACGGCUCACCAAGGCUUCGACGGGUAGCUGGUCUGAGAGGACGAUCAGCCACACUGGGACUGAGACACGGCCCAGACUCCUACGGGAGGCAGCAGUGGGGAAUCUUGCACAAUGGGCGAAAGCCUGAUGCAGCAACGCCGCGUGAGGGACGAAGGCUUUCUGAGUUGUAAACCUCUUUCAGCAGGGACGAUUGUGACGGUACCUGCAGAAGAGCCCCGGCAACUACGUGCCAGCAGCCGCGGUAA
rnacentral:rRNA from 1 species